rnacentral:lncRNA from 1 species
AGGUGUAACACCACUAAUUCAGGCCCGGCCAGAAAGCACAUACCAGAAAGUAGUACAUAUUUAACACAAAAUAGUUCCUACGCAUGGACAUAACUUUUAAUAUAUUUAGAAUAUUUUAUUAAUUUUGGUAUCAAAUGAAAGCUGCAUGACUGGUGAUCAUUGCAGAACAAUUUUUGACUGAUAAAUUUGAAUAAUAAAAAAAAUGGCAUGAAAUUUUAAAAGGAGGGUACAUUUUGCCUUUUUGUCAGAUCGGAAGUACCUGUUUUGGUACAUCCGAAGUUCCGGGAACCAGUUCUUUCUUAUAUGCAAUGUAAGGUAUGUUGAUUUUUUCAGUACAGAACACCAGAAGGUGUUGCUUUGACAUGCAAUGAUUGUCACUUUAUUUGAACUUAAGAUAAAAGAGCUGUGACCACUCGAAAUUGAGGAAUUUAACAUAGAAAGCAAUGGGGCCAUUAAUUAGUGGUGUACUUCCUAUAACACAGCCCCUUGGGCGAAUUGUUCAUUUCUGUUGACCAUUCUUGAAUGAACUGAUCUCUUAAUCUUUGCUGAACACUCAAUACAACCCAACGUUUCUCAAAUAAGUUGUGACUUUGCCAUAUAUUUGACAUUCCACAGUCAUCAAAAAUUUUCCUUAUAUAUAAUAUCCAUUUACUAUCAUAACCAUAGUUAUUGAGAUUUACAUAUAACAGCUUACAUAA